rnacentral:rRNA from 1 species
UAAAGCCCUUUCAGUGGGAAAGAUGAUGUCGGUACCCACAGAAGAAGCCCCGGCUAACUCCGUGCCAGCAGCCGCGGUAAUACGGAGGGGGCGAGCGUUGUUCGGAAUUAUUGGGCGUAAAGAGCGCGUAGGCGGCUUUUUAAGUCAGAAGUGAAAUCCUCGGGCUUAACCCGGGAACUGCUUUUGAAACUGGGAGGCUUGAGUCCGGCAGAGGGUGGUGGAACUCCCCGUGUAGAGGUGAAAUUCGUAGAUAUGGGGAGGAAGACC